rnacentral:rRNA from 1 species
GACGAACGCUGGCGGCGUGCUUAACACAUGCAAGUCGAACGGAAAGGCCUUGCUUUUGUGGGGUGCUCGAGUGGCGAACGGGUGAGUAACACGUGAGUAACCUGCCCUUGACUUUGGGAUAACUUCAGGAAACUGGGGCUAAUACCGGAUAGGAGCUCCUGCUGCAUGGUGGGGGUUGGAAAGUUUCGGCGGUUGGGGAUGGACUCGCGGCUUAUCAGCUUGUUGGUGGGGUAGUGGCUUACCAAGGCUUUGACGGGUAGCCGGCCUGAGAGGGUGACCGGCCACAUUGGGACUGAGAGACGGCCCAGACUCCUACGGGAGGCAGCAGUGGGGAAUAUUGCACAAUGGGCGGAAGCCUGAUGCAGCAACGCCGCGUGCGGGAUGACGGCCUUCGGGUUGUAAACCGCUUUCGCCUGUGACGAAGCGUGAGUGACGGUAAUGGGUAAAGAAGCACCGGCUAACUACGUG